UACGAAGGGGGCUAGCGUUGUUCGGAUUUACUGGGCGUAAAGCGCACGUAGGCGGAUCGAUCAGUCAGGGGUGAAAUCCCAGAGCUCAACUCUGGAACUGCCUUUGAUACUGUCGAUCUGGAGUAUGGAAGAGGUGAGUGGAAUUCCGAGUGUAGAGGUGAAAUUCGUAGAUAUUGGGAAGAACACCGGUGGCGAAGGCGGCGCUCUGGACCGAGACUGACGCUGAGGCGCGAAAGCGUGGGGAGCAAACAGG
rnacentral:rRNA from 1 species